UGGGGAAUUUUGGACAAUGGGCGCAAGCCUGAUCCAGCCAUGCCGCGUGAGUGAUGAAGGCCCUAGGGUUGUAAAGCUCUUUCACCGGUGAAGAUAAUGACGGUAACCGGAGAAGAAGCCCCGGCUAACUUCGUGCCAGCAGCCGCGGUAAUACGAAGGGGGCUAGCGUUGUUCGGAUUUACUGGGCGUAAAGCGCACGUAGGCGGACUUUUAAGUCAGGGGUGAAAUCCCGGGGCUCAACCCCGGAACUGCCUUUGAUACUGGAAGUCUUGAGUAUGGUAGAGGUGAGUGGAAUUCCGAGUGUAGAGGUGAAAUUCGUAGAUAUUCGGAAGAACACCAGUGGCGAAGGCGGCUCACUGGACCAUUACUGACGCUGAGGUGCGAAAGCGUGGGGAGCAAACAGG
rnacentral:rRNA from 1 species